rnacentral:misc_RNA from 1 species
GAUGAAGAACGCAGCGAAAUGCGAUAAGUAAUGUGAAUUGCAGAAUUCAGUGAAUCAUCGAAUCUUUGAACGCACAUUGCGCCCGCCAGUAUUCUGGCGGGCAUGCCUGUUCGAGCGUCAUUUCAACCAUCAAGCCCCAGGCUUGUGUUGGGGACCUGCGGCUGCCGCAGGCCCUGAAAACCAGUGGCGGGCUCGCUGUCACACCGGGCGUAGUAGAUUUUAUCUCGCUCAGGGCGUGCUGCGGGUUCCGGCCGUUAAAAAGCCUUUUGUACCCAAGGUUGACCUCGGAUCAGGUAGGAAGACCCGCUGAACUUAAGCAUAUCAAUAAGCGGAGGA